rnacentral:SRP_RNA from 1 species
GCUGGGCGUGGUGGCUCACACCUGUAAUCCCAGCACUUUGGGAGGCUGAGGCAGGUGGAUUGCUUGAGGUCAGGAGUUCCAGACCAGCCUGAUCUACAAGGUAAAACCCUGUCUCUA